ACAUGAAUAGCGUGAUCGAUAUACAACUUAACGACUAAGCUUACAAUAGAAAACAACUAUCUUUUGAAUAUAAUCCAUAUUAUAGAUUGAAUAAAGUACUGCUUUAUACGUGUAAGGGAAUAACAUUUUAUACGUAAAUAUGACAAGCCAAGGACAAACGCAAGGGCCUCCAAUGAACGUCGUGGCUCCCCAGCCACUGAAUCCCUCUAACUAUCCGCCUUACUCCGAGACAUAUCCGCCUAACACCGCGGUAUAUCCGCCAAACCCCGCGACAUAUCCACCAAACCCCCCACCCUACCAACCCCAGGGUCAAUAUCAUCAAACACAUGUCGGAUACUCCAGCACGGCUGUGUACGUGACUCAGCCUGGAGCUCCUGUGGGAAUAGGAAGGUGCAUAAGUUGUGGGCAAGGAGUAUACCAGGAUCGGGUGACAACACUAGGGAUACUUAUUGCGAUCCUUUGCUUCCCAUGGGGCAUACUGUGUUGCUUGUUUCUGACUGAGAGGCGGUGCACAAGUUGCGGCGCACUAGGAUAGUUAUGACGCCAGGAAUGAAACAAAAGGACGCAAAUACAUUAUUUUAAUGAACAUUAUAUAAUUUAUCGCCGGAUUGUAUACUUGCGUUUAUCUAUGUUCUUUGAACAUUGUCAUUAUGUUUUAUAUCAUACACCACUUGACUCAAAAUAAAGAACGCCGCGUGGCGGAGCAAUCUACGCCCGUCAAAAUAAAGAACGCCACCUCGCGGAACAAUCUACGCCCGUCAAAAUGAAGAUAGCCGCGUGGCGGAACAACCUAUGCCCGUCAAAAUAAAGGACGCCACGUGGCGGAACAACCUACGCCCGUAAAAAUAAAGAGCGCUUCGUGGCGAACCAACCUACGCCCGUCUAAAUAAAGGACGCCACGUGGCAAAACAACCUACGCCCGUCAAAAUAAAGAGCGCCUCGUGGCGAAACAGCAUACACCCGUCAACAUAAAGAGCGCCUCGUGGCAAAACAGCAUAUACCCGUCAAAAUAAAGAGCGCUGCGUGGCGGAACAACUUAAGCCCGUCAAAAUAAAGAGCGUCGCGUGGUGGAACAACCUACGCCCGUCAAAAUAAAGGACGCCACGUGGCGGAACAACCAACGCCCGUAAAAAAAGUCGUCAAAUCACUUGAAUCACCUCAGCAUAUGACGGAUGGAACUGCUACUGUAUAUGGAGUUCUGGAAUCAGACCAAGACGGCGUUUUGAGCAGUACAAGUAUGAAACAAGCGGAAAAAAAUAAAUAUUUGUUUCUGUUUUAUAAAUAACCGUCAUAUUUCACGAAGUGAGCUCUGAAUUAAUGGCGAAAGUAACUUUUCGUAUUGCUGACAAAGGGCCGACUGUUCAGAACUUUGUUAAAGUUAACAACUAUGUUAACGGCAUCGUUGUUAACUUUAAAAAGUUAAAUAGUUUAUAAUGUGCUCAUAUAUUUGCAUAAAACUUGUACAGCUGAAACAGUUGUCUGAAAUCUUGUUCAUAAUAGUGCAGAUCACAAGUGUAUUCAUUAAACAUUCAAUACAGUCACGAUUUUCAAGUUAACAAAGUGCUGAACAAUUAACCCAAUGUCGUCUAUUUAUAACUUUCGUGUUUAUGCCCAUGUCUCGCUGGACGAGACUGAAUUGGUUAUUUGAUAUCUACCGUCUUGCUAACGUUCGAAAGUUUAUGUUUUGAAAGCUGCACGCUUUUAGCCACAACACAAAAUUUCCCGAAUAAUAUGUAAUACUGCGAUCUAAUAUUUGUCAGCAAUCUUGUAUCACUGGUUACCAGGCAUUUACGCAAAAACAAAUCAUUUCAAAAAAGUAAAUACAAAAGUUGCUAAAACGGCCAAUCUAUGGAGUGCAGCUUUUAAAGUGUUUGAAGUUAUUAUUAGUGUUGUAGCCACCAUUCCAUCUUCAUAUUGAUUUAAUCAUAUUGCAUGCAAACUGUAAAAAAGUCUCCAAAAAUAGUUUUUUAGUAUAUAACACAAAUCACAGUUAUGUAUUUUUAAAGUGACACUCUUAUUCAAAAUCAAUACAUACACAUGUAUAACAAACAUCAAUUUUGACUGCUAGACCUUUUACUACUUACUAAAUAAUGCAUUUAUGGAAAACAAAUAUUACUGAUAACAAGGAUGUAACCCUGUAUUUAAUAACAGAAAACGCAAAAAUAUUAAAUGAUUGGUGAAUGCUAAAAGAUUUACUGUGAUCUACUUUAUUCCCAUAAGGUAGAAAUACCGUAUUGCACAUUCCUUUCAAAUUAAACUCGGUAUCCUUGAUAAGAACAAUUGUUUUCGACAUUUAUCAAACCUUUUUGAAAUAUUCAAACAAUAGUAUUAAUUGUGUUAAAUCUUAUUUGGGUGUAAGAGUGCAUCUUUAUAUUAAUAAAAAUACUCUAUAAAACUCUCUUGUGACAAUGCCUUUCAUAACCACCAGUAUCAUAAAAACAACGGUAUUGAAAUUUACCUGUAGAAGACAGAACUACGAAUGGAAGAAAAAGCAACAAUCUUGGAAGAAAAUAUUUUACUGGCCUUGUAAUAGUUAUCGCCUUUAAAUGAUUCAUCCUCAUGUUGUCAUAUGUGCAAAUAAAUGCAAAUACACACAGGGGUUAAUUUACCCCUCAGAGGCAAAUUUGCCCCAAUCAGGUAUUGUAUACCAUAUAAACACAGACCCUGAUUUCCCCUAUCAUCUUAAAACAAAUUAUGACCCUUGUAAGACUUCAGGAGAAAUACAUAACUAUCGAAAUAUUGUUGUCAAUGAAUGGUUUGGUUAAAGCCCUUGAACCCGAGACUAGCUAGUCAGUGAGCAAAAUAGUUCACUUGAUGUAUUUCGCUCUAAGAGACCAUAUUACCAAUUGACAAUAGAGCAAUAGAAACAUUAUGGUCAAGCACAGUAUCCAACACAAAACAGACGUAAUUCACGAUAUAACUCACAAGGUUAACAUGCAUUUUCGUUUGGUAAUAUGACUGUUAAAAUCCGUUGGUACUAAUUUAUUAAUAAUUUACAAACUACGAGUUCAGUUAUUGUUUUGUAAAUAAUAACCAUAUUACGCAAAUGAUAUCAUACUUCGACACAAGCUUUUUUAAUGAAUGUUCCAAGAAUAGACAUAUUUUUGUCAUGACUCUUUCACUUACACGAAGAACAUGUUGUUGUCAUCUUCCAUUUUCAAAGAAACUUACCAGAAUAUCAAAUAUUUCUGUCAGUGACAGAUGACCUGUUGUCAACUGUCUGUUCUCGUAAAUUAACCAGAGGCAUUGUCCAGCAAAGGUUCAAGGUACGAGUGUGCUUGACACUUUACCACAAAUCAUCUUUGAUACGAUCAGGAGCGUUUAA